CAAAAGUCGACAAUCGCGUUGGAAAAGUUUGUGUUUACGUCACACAUGGUCCCUGUGUCUGCUAUCUACUCCCAGCAAUUCACACUGGGGUGGUCUGUGCAAAACAUGAAUACAUGUAAAUUUUAACCAGGAUCACACGUAACAGUAAUAAGCAGCACAUUUUGACUUUUGCAUUGUAAUAUAAACGAGUUUUAUUUGGCCCAAUGGAGAAAAAGAAACAGCGAAGAUAAGCAAUGUCUUUGAAAAUGAAAAUCUCAAUUUUAGAUCAUUUAGCAAAAGGAGAAGACUCUACGGCAAUUGAGAAACAUU